ensembl:snoRNA
AUCCUUUUUGGUUCAUAAGCGUGAUGAUUGGGUGUUCACGCUGCUGUGUGAGACGUGCCUCCCUCUGAACCUUGCUAUGUUGUCGGCACAUUACCCAUUUGACA